AUUGAACGCUGGCGGCAGGCCUUACACAUGCAAGUCGAGCGGACCGGCGGUCGUGUGAGGCUUGCCUAGGAAUCUGCCUGUUACUGGUGGAUAACGUCCGGUAACGGGCGCUAAUACCACUAACUCUCCGAUGAGCCUAGGUCGGAUUAGCUAGUUGUUGGGGUAAAGGUCUACCAAGGCGACGAUCCGUAACUGGUCUGAGUGGAUGAUCAGUCACACUGGAACAGAGACACGGACCAGACUCCUACGGGAGGCAGCAGUGGGGAAUAUUGGACAAGGGGCGAAAGCCUGAUCCAGCCAUGCCGCGUGUGUGAUGAAGGGCUUCGGAAAGUAAAGGACUUUAAGUUGGGAGGCGUUACCAGCAGAAUAAGCACCGGCUAACUUCGAGCCAGCAGCCGCGGUAAUAC
rnacentral:rRNA from 1 species